rnacentral:lncRNA from 1 species
UGUAAUAAGAUAGAGUAACAGUAUUCAACAGAAUUUUUUUUUUGCAGAUUCAAAUUAUAUUCUCAAGAAUUCCAGUGCCUGGUGUACUGCUUAUCCCAAGCUUUCACAUGCAUACUCUUAGAAAUGUUGAAGACUGCAGUCCAUAAGUGCUUGUUGACUUGAAAUGGGACAGAAGAAACCACGUGCAUUUCUAUGAAGAUGCCAUAUUUGCUUUUCAAAAGGUUAAGAUUUCCUGCU